rnacentral:rRNA from 1 species
UACGGGGGGGGCAAGCGUUGUUCGGAAUUACUGGGCGUAAAGGGCUCGUAGGCGGCCAACUAAGUCAGCCGUGAAAUCCCCAGGCUCAACUUGGGAACUGCGUCUGAUACUGGAUGGCUUGAAUUCGGGAGAGGGAUGCAGAAUUCCAGGUGUAGCGGUGAAAUGCGUAGAUAUCUGGAGGAAUACCGGUGGCGAAGGCGGCAUCCUGGACCGAGAUUGACACUGAUGAGCGAAAGCUAGGGGAGCAAACGGG